rnacentral:rRNA from 1 species
GAGCGCGCCUUUCGGGGUGAGCGGCGGACGGGUUAGUAACGCGUGGGAAUAUACCCUUUGGUACGGAAUAGCCUCUGGAAACGGAGAGUAAUACCGUAUGAGCCCUUCGGGGGAAAGAUUUAUCGCCAAAGGAUUAGCCCGCGUUAGAUUAGGUAGUUGGUGGGGUAAUGGCCUACCAAGCCUACGAUCUAUAGCUGGUUUUAGAGGAUGAUCAGCAACACUGGGACUGAGACACGGCCCAGACUCCUACGGGAGGCAGCAGUGGGGAAUCUUGGACAAUGGGGGCAACCCUGAUCCAGCCAUGCCGCGUGAGUGAUGAAGGCCUUAGGGUCGUAAAGCUCUUUCGCCUGUGAAGAUAAUGACGGUAGCAGGUAAAGAAACCCCGGCUAACUCCGUGCCAGCAGCCGCGGUAAUACGGAGGGGGUUAGCGUUGUUCGGAAUUACUGGGCGUAAAGCGCACGUAGGCGGACCAGAAAGUUGGGGGUGAAAUCCCGGGGCUCAACCCCGGAACUGCCUCCAAAACUAUUGGUCUAGAGUUCGAGAGAGGUGAGUGGAAUUCCGAGUGUAGAGGUGAAAUUCGUAGAUAUUCGGAGGAACACCAGUGGCGAAGGCGGCUCACUGGCUCGAUACUGACGCG